rnacentral:rRNA from 1 species
UGGGGAAUUUUGGACAAUGGGGGCAACCCUGAUCCAGCCAUGCCGCGUGCAGGAUGAAGGCCUUCGGGUUGUAAACUGCUUUUGUCAGGGACGAAAAGGACCGUGUUAAUACCAUGGUCUGCUGACGGUACCUGAAGAAUAAGCACCGGCUAACUACGUGCCAGCAGCCGCGGUAAUACGUAGGGUGCAAGCGUUAAUCGGAAUUACUGGGCGUAAAGCGUGCGCAGGCGGUUCUGUAAGACAGAUGUGAAAUCCCCGGGCUCAACCUGGGAAUUGCAUUUGUGACUGCAGGACUAGAGUUCAUCAGAGGGGGGUGGAAUUCCAAGUGUAGCAGUGAAAUGCGUAGAUAUUUGGAAGAACACCAAUGGCGAAGGCAGCCCCCUGGGAUGCGACUGACGCUCAUGCACGAAAGCGUGGGGAGCAAACAGG